ACUCCUACGGGAGGCAGCAGUGGGGAAUAUUGCACAAUGGGCGCAAGCCUGAUGCAGCCAUGCCGCGUGUAUGAAGAAGGCCUUCGGGUUGUAAAGUACUUUCAGCAGUGAGGAAGGUGAGUAGUAGUUAAUAGCUUGCUAUUAUUUGACGUUAGCUAGCAGAAGAAGCGACCGGCUAACUCCGUGCCAGCAGCCGCGGUAAUACGGAGGGUGCGAGCGUUAAUCGGAAUUACUGGGCGUAAAGCGCAUGCAGGUGGUUUGUUAAGUCAGAUGUGAAAGCCCGGGGCUCAACCUCGGAAUAUGACA
rnacentral:rRNA from 1 species